rnacentral:rRNA from 1 species
UAUGAAGGCCAGGCUGAAGACUUUGCCGGAUUAGCUGAGAGGUGGUGCAUGGCCGUCGUCAGUUCGUACUGUGAAGCAUCCUGUUAAGUCAGGCAACGAGCGAGACCCACGCCCACAGUUGCCAGCGUACUCUCUGGAGUGACGGGGUACACUGUUGGGGACCGCCUCUGCUAAAGAGGAGGAAGGAAUGGGCAACGGUAGGUCAGCAUGCCCCGAAUUAUCUGGGCUACACGCGGGCUACAAUGGGUGGGACAAUGGGUAUCGACACCGAAAGGUGAAGGCAAUCUCCUAAACCCAUCCUUAGUUCGGAUUGUGGGCUGCAACCCGCCACAUGAAGCUGGAAUCCGUAGUAAUCGCGUUUCAACAGAACGCGGUGAAUACGUCCCUGCUCCUU